rnacentral:rRNA from 1 species
CGGGAAUUUUGGGCAAUGGGCGAAAGCCUGACCCAGCAACGCCGCGUGAAGGAUGAAAUCCUUCGGGAUGUAAACUUCGCAAGAACAGGAAGAAUAAACCGGUGUAAACACCACCGGCGAUGUCGGUACUGUUUGUAAGCACCGGCUAACUCCGUGCCAGCAGCCGCGGUAAUACGGAGGGUGCAAGCGUUGUCCGGAUUUAUUGGGUUUAAAGGGUGCGUAGGCGGCCGUUUAAGUCCGGGGUGAAAGCCCGUUGCUCAACAACGGAACUGCCCUGGAAACUGGACGGCUUGAGUACAGACGAGGGUGGCGGAAUGGAUGGUGUAGCGGUGAAAUGCAUAGAUACCAUCCAGAACCCCGAUUGCGAAGGCAGCUGCCUAGACUGUAACUGACGCUGAGGCACGAAAGCGUGGGGAGCGAAC